rnacentral:rRNA from 1 species
AUUGAACGCUGGCGGCAGGCCUAACACAUGCAAGUCGAGCGGAGCGGCGGACGGGUGAGUAAUGCCUAGGAAUCUGCCUGGUAGUGAUGGAUAACUUCCGGAAACGGGCGCUAAUAACGCAUACUCUCAGAUGAGCCUAGGUCGGAUUAGCUAGUUGGGGGGGUAAAGGCCUAACAAGGCGAAGAUCCGUAACUGGUCCGAGAGGAUGCUCAGUCACACUGGAACGGAGACACGGCCCAGACUCCUACGGGAGGCAGCAGUGGUGAAUAUGGGACAAUGGGCGAAAGCCUGAACCAGCCAGGCCGCGUGUGUGAAGAAGGUCUUCGGAUUGUAAAGCACUUCAAGUUGGGAGGCGUUACCAACAGAAUAAGCACCGGCUAACUUCGUGCCAGCAGCCGCGGUAAUAC